CCUGCUCAGUGUGUUGGAAGCACUACAUGGAUCAGCUACCUGAACCAGAGCUGGAGGUGAUCAGCAGGACAACUGCACGACCCGGUUGCUAGGCAGCACACCAGCAUUUUACUGAAUGGGCCCCUGUAAGACGAUGUCACAGAGCUGAAUAAUGUCACAGAGCAUGUGAAGCACAGCUCCUGCAUGCAGCUCCAGAAUGUACUGCGAUGGCUCCAGCUCUGCAAGCUUCCAGCAUGAUGAACUCUGCUCUCCUGCACUGCUCCAGAAGACCAGCCAGAAUACAAACUGCAAAUUUGGCCUGUCACAUGACCUAUAGAUAAUCUCAUGUGAUGUCAUAAUACCAAUGCUACCACCUCACAGAGUCCAAGUAAGUGUACAAGUAGCAUGACCUGCUCAGGAUGCUGGAAGCGCUUCAAAUUAGCUGCGUCAACCAGAUCUGGAGGUGAUCUGCAGAACAGUAAGUAAUAAAGGUAGGAAGCUGAUAAUAUUUGUCAGAAUGUUAAAAAAAAAAAACAUAGUUUUUCUGGUGUUAUAUAGAAAUUAAUCUGUAGAUUCAGAUAUAAAGGUGAUACAUAACACUGUUAGAUACUAAACCAAAAUGUGAAAGAUGAUAUACAGUAUGCCUAUGACACAUAACAAUGUAAUAUAGCUAGUAAUAGUAAGGAAAUUUACUAUGUAUAAUAGUGGUGCUUUACAGUGUU